AAGCAGGGGAUCUUCGGACCUUGCGCUAAUAGAUGAGCCUAAGUCAGAUUAGCUAGUUGGUGGGGUAAAGGCCUACCAAGGCGACGAUCUGUAGCGGGUCUGAGAGGAUGAUCCGCCACACUGGGACUGAGACACGGCCCAGACUCCUACGGGAGGCAGCAGUGGGGAAUAUUGGACAAUGGGCGAAAGCCUGAUCCAGCCAUGCCGCGUGUGUGAAGAAGGCCUUUUGGUUGUAAAGCACUUUAAGCGAGGAGGAGGCUACUUGGAUUAAUACUCUAGGAUAGUGGACGUUACUCGCAGAAUAAGCACCGGCUAACUCUGUGCCAGCAGCCGCGGUAAUACAGAGGGUGCGAGCGUUAAUCGGAUUUACUGGGCGUAAAGCGUGCGUAGGCGGCUUUUUAAGUCGGAUGUGAAAUCCCUGAGCUUAACUUAGGAAUUGCAUUCGAUACUGGGAAGCUAGAGUAUGGGAGAGGAUGGUAGAAUUCCAGGUGUAGCGGUGAAAUGCGUAGAGAUCUGGAGGAAUACCGAUGGCGAAGGCAGCCAUCUGGCCUAAUACUGACGCUGAGGUACGAAAGCAUGGGGAGCAAACAGGAUUAGAUACCCUGGUAGUCCAUGCCGUAAACGAUGUCUACUAGCCGUUGGGGCCUUUGA
rnacentral:rRNA from 1 species